rnacentral:rRNA from 1 species
UUUGGGCGUAAGGGCUCGCAGGCGGUUUCUUAAGUCUGAUGUGAAAGCCCCCGGCUCAACCGGGGAGGGUCAUUGGAAACUGGGGAACUUGAGUGCAGAAGAGGAGAGUGGAAUUCCACGUGUAGCGGUGAAAUGCGUAGAGAUGUGGAGGAACACCAGUGGCGAAGGCGACUCUCUGGUCUGUAACUGACGCUGAGGAGCGAAAGCGUGGGGAGCGAACAGGAUUAGAUACCCUGGUAGUCCACGCCGUAAACGAUGAGUGCUAAGUGUUAGGGGGUUUCCGCCCCUUAGUGCUGCAGCUAACGCAUUAAGCACUCCGCCUGGGGAGUACGGUCGCAAGACUGAAACUCAAAGGAAUUGACGGGGGCCCGCACAAGCGGUGGAGCAUGUGGUUUAAUUCGAAGCAACGCGAAGAACCUUACCAGGUCUUGACAUCCUCUGACAAUCCUAGAGAUAGGACGUCCCCUUCGGGGGCAGAGUGACAGGUGGUGCAUGGUUGUCGUCAGCUCGUGUCGUGAGAUGUUGGGUUAAGUCCCGCAACGAGCGCAACCCUUGAUCUUAGUUGCCAGCAUUCAGUUGGGCACUCUAAGGUGACUGCCGGUGACAAACCGGAGGAAGGUGGGGAUGACGUCAAAUCAUCAUGCCCCUUAUGACCUGGGCUACACACGUGCUACAAUGGACAGAACAAAGGGCAGCGAAACCGCGAGGUUAAGCCAAUCCCACAAAUCUGUUCUCAGUUCGGAUCGCAGUCUGCAACUCGACUGCGUGAAGCUGGAAUCGCUAGUAAUCGCGGAUCAGCAUGCCGCGGUGAAUACGUUCC